AACGGGUUGUAGCUGACCUCAAUUGGGGUAUGUGCACGCCUGGCUCAUUCCACUCUCAAACCCCUGUGCACUUAUUGUAGGCUUGGUGGGAUAGGCUGACUUUUAUUAGUCGGUCUUGAAAGCUUCGCCUAUGUUUUAAUACAAACGCUUCAGUUUAGAAUGUAAUCAUUGCUAACAAGCAAAUUAAAUACAACUUUCAGCAACGGAUCUCUUGGCUCUCGCAUCGAUGAAGAACGCAGCGAAAUGCGAUAAGUAAUGUGAAUUGCAGAAUUCAGUGAAUCAUCGAAUCUUUGAACGCACCUUGCGCUCUUUGGUAUUCCGAAGAGCAUGCCUGUUUGAGUGUCAUGGUAUCAUCAACCUUCAACACUUUUGUGAUUGAAGGCUUGGAUUUGGAGGUUGUGUCGGUGCAUUUGUAUCGACUCCUCUGAAAUGUAUUAGCGUGAAUCUUACGGAUCGCCUUCGGUGUGAUAAUUACUGCGCCGUGGACGUGAAGUAUAACAGUGUUCGUGCUUAUAAUCGUCUUUAACAGAGACAACACUUUGACAAUCUGACCUCAAAUCAGGUAGGAUUACCCGCUGAACUUAAGCAUAUCAAUAAGCGGAGGAAAAGAAACUAACAAGGAUUCCCCUAGUAACUGCGAGUGAAGCGGGAAAAGCUCAAAUUUAAAAUCUGGCGGUCUUCGAUCGUCCGAGUUGUAGUCUGGAGAAGUGUCUUCCGCGCUGGCCGUGUACAAGUCUCUUGGAACAGAGCGUCAUAGAGGGUGAGAAUCCCGUCUUUGACACGGACUACCAGUGCUUUGUGAUGCGCUCUCAAAGAGUCGAGUUGUUUGGGAAUGCAGCUCAAAA
rnacentral:rRNA from 1 species